AUGUUCCGUCCGUCAGGGCGCCUCUCCUGGCCAGCCACGACCCCACGUAGCCUUCUUCUUCGGCAGCUACAGCCCCUGCUGCGUGGUUGCGGUGAGAGCAGCUCGUGUUGGCAGAGUCUAGAGAGGAGGGGGAGCAUGGGGAGCUCCCAGCCGUCAUGCCGUGGUGGGCACGGGGAAGGCACCUGCCAGGCUCUUCCAGAGCCUCACGCUGCGCCUGACGGCCUCGGUCUCCUCUCUGGGCUUCCCCAGCCAAGCCUCUGCCUCAGUGUCCCUGAGGGAAACAAAACUCCAUUAGCAUCUCCAGAACGGCUGCUCAGAGAAGGGAAGCAGCCCGCUGCCCCCAGCCUCCCCAGUCCGGAGCAUCUGCCUCCACACUCACCACCCCCCAACUCAGGACUUCCAGAAGCCGCGUGGGAACGAGCUCCCUACAUCUGCAUAAUGAAAGCAUUUACCAACCCCCCCCACCCGCUGCAGAACAGAUUUCUGCUUUUAAUAAAGGCUGUGUAUCACCCAUGUCUUGGCCCCCGUCAAACAGUAGGUGACAACCCUGUCCUUGAAAAGAAGUGGCAAAUCUUGACCUAUUUUUCAGGGCUCCGGCCGGACAGCAACCUCCGUCUCUGGCGUGGAGCAGGGGGCCUGGGGUCCGGGGCAGCCCUGGGCCCAGCGGCGUGUGCUCAGAUCCGUCUUGGGAGUAGCUGGGUCAUCAGUGCUCAGCGGAGCCUGGGAUUGGUCACGCAGGGGAAGAUGGGGACUCGUGGCACCGGAGGACCUGCGUGGUCACGGUUUGGGGCAGGGACAGGAGAGACAUUACAGAAGGAGGAAGUACGUUCUCAGCCCCUGGACUCUGGGAGCUGCCCAGACGGAGCCACACAGCCCAGCCAUAGUGUGUGUUCACUACCUUGGGGAUCGGGAAUGGGGGGGAGGAGUUUUCCUGAUUGGCUUCCCAACCCGGGGGGCCUGAGGCCGGCCAGGAAGUCAUUGUUGACUCCUGUGAGAUCACAGAGGUGGCUGUGCAGGCCCCGCCCACUUCCUGCAGCCCCUGUUCUCCCUGCCCGCCGCGGAGCCCCCAAGAUCCCCCCCCAAACCAGGGAGCUGCUGGCCAGGGGUCAGGAGUCUUUAGGAGCUGAGGGCGGGCACCCCCCACGCUCCACCAGGAACCCUCAGGACAUGAGGGUCAUAGGCCUCCCUUUUCCUCCUGUUCCUGUUUGCCCUGAAUGCCCCCACCCCAGCCGUGCUGGUCGCCAGGCCCUGACUGUCUCAAGGAUCCAAUCUGAAAAGAUGCAGGCGGGUGGUAGCUGCCACCCAGAACGGAGGCCGGGUGUGUGGGGGUGA
rnacentral:lncRNA from 1 species